UACAGAGGGUGCAAGCGUUAAUCGGAGUUACUGGGCGUAAAGGGCGCGUAGGCGGUCAUGCAAGUGAGAUGUGAAAUCCCCGGGCUCAACCUGGGAACUGCAUUUGUGACUGUAGAGCUGGAGUACGGCAGAGGGGGAUGGAAUUCCGCGUGUAGCAGUGAAAUGCGUAGAUAUGCGGAGGAACACCGAUGGCGAAGGCAAUCCCCUGGGCCUGUACUGACGCUCAUGCACGAAAGCGUGGGGAGCAAACAGG
rnacentral:rRNA from 1 species